UACGUAGGGGCUAGCGUUGUCCGGAAUCAUUGGGCGUAAAGAGCGUGUAGGCGGCCCGGUAAGUCCGCUGUGAAAGUCGGGGGCUCAACCCUCGAAUGCCGGUGGAUACUGUCGGGCUAGAGUGCGGAAGAGGAGUGUGGAAUUCUUGGUGUAGCAGUGAAAUGCGUAGAUAUCAAGAGGAACACCAGUGGCGAAGGCGAGUCCCUGGACGAUACCUGACACUGAGGCACGAAAGCUAGGGGAGCAAACAGG
rnacentral:rRNA from 1 species